UACAGAGGGGGGCGAGCGUUGUUCGGAAUUACUGGGCGUAAAGGGCGCGUAGGCGGCCAACUAAGUCAGACGUGAAAUCCCUCGGCUCAACCGGGGAACUGCGUCUGAGACUGGAAGGCUUGAAUCCGGGAGAGGGAUGUGGAAUUCCAGGUGUAGCGGUGAAAUGCGUAGAUAUCUGGAGGAACACCGGUGGCAAAGGCGGCAUCCUGGACCGGUAUUGACGCUGAGGCGCGAAAGCCAGGGGAGCAAAGCGGG
rnacentral:rRNA from 1 species